rnacentral:lncRNA from 1 species
CAUAAGUUUCAAAUACAUUAGAAAUGAGAGUACUAAUUUAUUUGUAUUUUGAAUUUUUUUGUAAAUAUAUUAGUUUUUAAGAAUAUUUUUUUAAAAUAUAAAUAAUUUUCGGGGCGGAUUCGGGGCGGAUUCGGGACGGAUCAUAGCGGGGUGGAUUCGGGGCGGGUCAAAAUUUCUCCCGUUUCCUGCCCCGAAUCCAUCUCGGAUCAUAAAAUUUACUCCGUUUUCUGCGCUGAAUUCUUUUAUUUUCUCCCAUUUACUGCCCUCGUCGGAGCGGAUCGGGGCGGGAGCUCCACCAAUCCGGAUUCGUUUGCAUCCCUAAUUGUUACAGUUAUAAAAAAAGUCUCACCAUAUUUUAUCAACCUUUGGGCUUCGUUUGGUUCGGUAACUAGUAAGAACUAGUUAUACCGGACAUAGGUACAAGUAUGAGUUUUUGUAAGAAUAAGAGUAUUUUUUUUGUUUGGAUUAUAAUUUAGGAAUAAGUAAGAAUAAAAAAAAAAGUAUUUGGAUGAUUUUAAGAGAAUAAGAAUAAUAAUGAGUAGUUAUAUUUUUAAAAUACCAAAAAUACCCCUUAUCCCAAUCUCUAUUUUCAAAAAAUACUAUUCAUCCCCAAAUACAAAAUAAAAAAAAUUAAAAAAAAAACUCCAUUCUCUUCCUCUGCGCUCUCCCUCCUCUUCUCUC